rnacentral:rRNA from 1 species
UCGAGAAUUUUUCACAAUGGGCGCAAGCCUGAUGGAGCGACGCCGCGUGGGGGAUGAAUGGCUUCGGCCCGUAAACCCCUGUCGUUUGCGAUCAACCGUUGUUGUUUAAGAGAUGACAACCUGAUAGUAGCGAAAGAGGAAGGGACGGCUAACUCUGUGCCAGCAGCCGCGGUAAUACGUAGGGGGCGAGCGUUGUCCGGAAUUACUGGGCGUAAAGGGUGCGUAGGUGGCCUUUUAAGUUGGAUGUGAAAUACCCGGGCUUAACUUGGGGGGUGCAUCUAAUACUGGAGGGCUAGAGUGCAGGAGAGGAAAGCGGAAUUCCUAGUGUAGCGGUGAAAUGCGUAGAUAUUAGGAGGAACACCAGUGGCGAAGGCGGCUUUCUGGACUGUAACUGACACUGAGGCACGAAAGCGUGGGGAGCAAACA